rnacentral:rRNA from 1 species
UACGGAGGGGGCUAGCGUUGUUUCGGAAUUACUGGGGCGUAAAGCGCACGUAGGCGGCUUUGUAAGUUAGAGGUGAAAGCCCGGGGCUCAACUCCGGAAUUGCCUUUAAGAUUUGCAUCGCUAGAAUUGUGGAGAGGUAAGUGGAAUUCCGGAGUGUAGAGGUGAAAUUCGUAGAUAUUCGGAAGAACACCAGUGGCGAAGGCGACUUACUGGACACAGUAUUGACGCUGAGGUGCGAAAGCGAUGGGGAGCAAACAGGGAUUA